CUCUUCCCGGCCCCCAUCCCACCACCCAUGAGGAGGAGGACCGGACUUCUGUCGCUAAGAGCCAUUGGUACCAUGACAUUCGUGCACUGAGAAUCGUCGUUUGUCACGAGUCCAAUAGCUUUCAUCUCCUCCACUAAUGUGUUUUUCUAGGAAUUACUUGUUGGAUUGAAACGAAGCCUGAGAUCGACAUGCCUGGCUGAGCAUAAACGACGUAUGUUUCCAGUGGAACGCAAAGUAGCUGAGGAUGCAUCUUUCGAAUUCUUCCACCAGUUUGAUGAAGAGAGAAUCGCAUUCAGGAUCAUUUGCAAAAAACGCGUACAUGUCCUCUUCGCAUCCCUCAGCUUUUUUAAUAUAUUCGGAUGCCAACUUACACAAAUCAAACGCGAUCGAAGAUCCAAGGGAGGAGAGGAAGGGGCACAGAGAUUUCUUAUUACCUACAUAGUGAGAGAACUUCUCAAUGCUCAAAACCUGGUCGGCAGCGGAGAUUCUCUUCCGAGGUAUGAUCUUCCUGUCGCGUACUUUCCUGAUGCGGUAAUGCAGCGCGGCUGCUAUGAUCAGCCCCACGGAGGAGGCCACGAGGAUCUGCGUGUACGUUGCUUUAGCGCUGCCGUUCAUCUCAUCUGCCGUAGAAUCAAACAUAAUAAUCUAUGACGGGAAACUAGUUUUUUUGUUGAUCAGUUUUUACGUAUGUUUUGCCACUAUGCAUCUCUUGCCUGUGGAAGGACAAGAAUGUGUGUAUUCCCUCUGUUUCUUUCUCUUCUCUCUCUCUUUCUCUCUCUGUGUGUGUGUUUUUCUGUUUAUUUUGUUCCUAUGAAUUUGGAGAUGGAUGUUGAUGAAUGUCUGAAUGUUUCAACUCCUUGUAUGUGGUCAAUUUGCAUCAUGAAUUAUCAAACAACAUUCUGUUUUAUGUUGCA